rnacentral:rRNA from 1 species
UACAGAGGGGGCAAGCGUUGUUCGGAAUUACUGGGCGUAAAGGGCGCGUAGGCGGCCCGUCAAGUCGAACGUGAAAUCCCCGGGCUCAACCCGGGAACUGCGUCCGAUACUGGCAGGCUUGAAUUCGGGAGAGGGAUGCGGAAUUCCAGGUGUAGCGGUGAAAUGCGUAGAUAUCUGGAGGAACACCGGUGGCGAAGGCGGCAUCCUGGACCGAGUAUUGACGCUGAGGCGCGAAAGCCAGGGGAG